ACAUGCUCUUCUGAGAAGCAUUAUCUUCAUUCCAGACAACAUAUUCAGACAUUUAAACAUAUCAACAACUUGCAAGGAUAAGAAAUCAAACAGUAGGGAUUGUAGGUGAAGAGCCCUCUCUUUCACCCCUUUCACCGACACUGUUAUCUGCAAACUUUAAGCUUGCUGAGUGUUCAAUCGGUAUUCUAAUAGAAUGGACAAAAGUUGGAUAAAUAAGUUAAGAUCUAGUGCUGAAUAUUUGGAUGGAGUUCGGACUGAAA